rnacentral:rRNA from 1 species
CCUACGGGAGGCAGCAGUGGGGAAUAUUGGGCAAUGGGCGCAAGCCUGACCCAGCAAUGCCGCGUGAAGGAAGAAGGCUUUCGGGUUGUAAACUUCUUUGACAGGGGAAGAGCAGAAGACGGUACCCUGAAAACAAGACACGGCUAACUACGUGCCAGCAGCCGCGGUAAUACGUAGGUGGCAAGCGUUGUCCGGAUUUACUGGGUGUAAAGGGCGUGUAGCCGGGAAGGCAAGUCAGAUGUGAAAUCUGGAGGCUCAACCUCCAAAUUGCAUUUGAAACUGGUUUUCUUGAGUACUGGAGAGGCAGACGGAAUUCGUUGUGUAGCGGUGAAAUGCGUAGAUAUAAGGAGGAACACCAGUGGCGAAGGCGGUCUGCUGGACAGCAACUGACGGUGAGGCGCGAAAGCGUGGGGAGCAAACAGGAUUAGAUACCCCAGUAGUC